GACGAACGCUGGCGGCGUGCCUAAUACAUGCAAGUAGAACGCUGAAGGAGGAGCUUGCUUCUCUGGAUGAGUUGCGAACGGGUGAGUAACGCGUAGGUAACCUGCCUGGUAGCGGGGGAUAACUAUUGGAAACGAUAGCUAAUACCGCAUAAUAGUAGAUGUUGCAUGACAUUUGCUUAAAAGGUGCAAUUGCAUCACUACCAGAUGGACCUGCGUUGUAUUAGCUAGUUGGUGAGGUAACGGCUCACCAAGGCAACGAUACAUAGCCGACCUGAGAGGGUGAUCGGCCACACUGGGACUGAGACACGGCCCAGACUCCUACGGGAGGCAGCAGUAGGGAAUCUUCGGCAAUGGACGGAAGUCUGACCGAGCAACGCCGCGUGAGUGAAGAAGGUUUUCGGAUCGUAAAGCUCUGUUGUAAGAGAAGAACGAGUGUGAGAGUGGAAAGUUCACACUGUGGCGGUAUCUUACCAGAAAGGGACGGCUAACUACGUG
rnacentral:rRNA from 1 species